CCCGUCCUCCCCACCUUGAGGGAGGCCAUCCAGCACAAUAAUGGCA
rnacentral:SRP_RNA from 14 species